UAAAUACCAAAAAUACUAUCUACAAUCCAACCCUCCCCCUCUGAUUUCUUUCACGCCAGACAACAGAAGAAGAAAAGUCAUGCUCGCAAACUGAAGAUAGAGAAGGAGGGUGAAAGGGCAUCUAUAUCAUCCUGAAUCCACACCUGCGAAUGGUAAGGAUAAUGGGAAAGAAGAAUUACUAGGGCUUACUGUAUUUAUGGUUGGCUGUUUAUGUAAUGUCUCAAACAAGCACGGAAACGGAAGGUGGGGAAGAAAUAGAAGUGGACGAAGUGGAUGAAGAAAUGGAAGUGGAGCAAAUGGUGGAAGAACAUAUUGAAGAAGAAGAAGAAACUGAUGAAGAAGAAAUUGAGGAAGAAGAACUUUAUGAAACCAUUAAAUAUUCAUUGAUGGCAAUUCAAGUUGUAGUCCACGUGUUAAAAGAGUUUAUAAUUACAUUUGGACAACCUAUUGAAAAGACACUGAUGUGUUAGUGAAUGUAUCCUGAUGUGUUUGUGAAGUUAUGCACUAUUAUUAGGGAAAAAACACUCUUAUGAGAUACAAGAUUCAUUUGCAUAGAAGAAAUGCUUGCAACAUUUUUGCUUAUUGUUGGACACAAUAGUAGAUAUUGUCUACUACGUGAUACGUUUGGCCGAUCACAUUGGACUGUCAGUAGAAAUUUUAACAAAGUUUUGAAGGCCUUGAACACAAUAGAACAGGAGAUGAUGGCCAAACAUGGAUUAGCAGUGCCACCUAAAAUAAGGGAAAGUACGAGAUUUUACCUUUACUUGAAGGAUUGUAUUGGAGCUAUUGAUGACACACAUAUCCCAACAUCAGUGUCCGAAUGCGAUGUAAGCAGUUAUCGUAACCGUAAUGGUGUCAUAUAACAAAAUGUAUUAGCUGCUUGUAACUUUGAUUUGGAAUUCAUGUACGUCCUUAGUGAGUGGGAAGGACCGGCUCAUGAUUCAAGAGUACUAAAUGAUGCUUUGACAAGAAGGAAUGGACUUAAAGUGCCACAAGGUAUCAAAUUAUUAUUUAUCAUUUUUAUUAUUAUUUAACUUCUCAUUAAUCCAU